GCCUGGUUAGCUCAGUUGGUAGAGCAUGGGAUUAUUAAUCCUUGGUGGUGGGUUCGAGCCCCACACCAGGCG